rnacentral:rRNA from 1 species
UACGGGGGGGGCAAGCGUUGUUCGGAAUUACUGGGCGUAAAGGGCUCGUAGGUGGCCAACUAAGUCGGACGUGAAAUCCCUCGGCUUAACCGGGGAACUGCAUCCGAUACUGGAUGGCUUGAGUUCGGGAGAGGGAUGCGGAAUUCCAGGUGUAGCGGUGAAAUGCGUAGAUAUCUGGAGGAACACCGGUGGCGAAGGCGGCAUCCUGGACCGACACUGACGCUGAGGCGCGAACGAGCCAGGGAGCGAAACGGG